rnacentral:rRNA from 1 species
UGAGGAAUAUUGGUCAAUGGGCGCAAGCCUGAACCAGCCAUCCCGCGUGAAGGAAGAAGGCGCUAUGCGUUGUAAACUUCUUUUCCAGGGAAAUAAAAUUUCGUACGUGUACGGAACUGAAGGUACCCUGGGAAUAAGCAUCGGCUAACUCCGUGCCAGCAGCCGCGGUAAUACGGAGGAUGCAAGCGUUAUCCGGAUUUAUUGGGUUUAAAGGGUGCGCAGGCGGAAAAAGAAGUCAGUGGUGAAAUCCUGAGUCUUAACUGUAGAAUUGCCGUUGAUACUGUUAUGCUUGAGUGUGGUCAAGGUAGGCGGAAUGUGUAAUGUAGCGGUGAAAUGCUUAGAUAUUACACAGAACACCGAUUGCGAAGGCAGCUUACUGGGCCAUUACUGACGCUCAUGCACGAAAGCGUGGGGAUCGAACA